CAGCUCAAAUUUGAAAUCUGGGUCUUUUAGGCUCCGAGUUGUAAUUUGUAGAAGAUGCUUUGGGUGCGGCCCCGGUCUAAGUUCCUUGGAACAGGACGUCAUAGAGGGUGAGAAUCCCGUAUGUGAUCGGUGGCUUGCGCCCGUGUAAAGCUCUUUCGACGAGUCGGGUUGUUUGGGAAUGCAGCUCUAAAUGGGUGGUAAAUUUCAUCUAAAGCUAAAUAUUGGCCAGAGACCGAUAGCGCACAAGUAGAGUGAUCGAAAGAUGAAAAGCACUUUGGAAAGAGAGUUAAACAGUACGUGAAAUUGUUGAAAGGGAAGCGCUUGCAACCAGACUUGCGCGGGGUUGAUCAUCCGGGGUUCUCCCCGGUGCACUCGGCCUCGCUCAGGCCAGCAUCGGUUUUGGUGGUUGGAUAAAGGCCUUGGGAAUGUGACUUCUUUCGGGGAGUGUUAUAGCCCUCGGUGCAAUGCAGCCUACCGGGACCGAGGACCGCGCUUCGGCUAGGAUGCUGGCGUAAUGGUUGUAAGCGACCCGUCUUGAAACACGGACCAAGGAGUCUAACAUCUAUGCGAGUGUUUGGGUGUCAAACCCAUACGCGUAAUGAAAGUGAACGGAGGUGAGAACCCUUAAGGGUGCAUCAUCGACCGAUCCUGAUGUCUUCGGAUGGAUUUGAGUAAGAGCAUAGCUGUUGGGACCCGAAAGAUGGUGAACUAUGCCUGAAUAGGGUGAAGCCAGAGGAAACUCUGGUGGAGGCUCGCAGCGGUUCUGACGUGCAAAUCGAUCGUCAAAUUUGGGCAUAGG
rnacentral:rRNA from 1 species